UACAGAGGUCCCAAGCGUUGUUCGGAUUCACUGGGCGUAAAGGGUGCGUAGGUGGUGAGGUAAGUCGGAUGUGAAAGCUCGGAGCUCAACUCCGAAAUGGCAUUGGAAACUACCUUGCUCGAGGGUUGGAGGGGGGACUGGAAUGCUUGGUGUAGCAGUGAAAUGCGUAGAUAUCAAGCGGAACACCAGUGGCGAAGGCGAGUCCCUGGACAACUACUGACACUGAGGCACGAAAGCUAGGGGAGCAAACAGG
rnacentral:rRNA from 1 species